rnacentral:snRNA from 1 species
GGAUGUGAGAGCGAUCUGGCUGUGACAACUAUCACCCCACUAAUUGCCAGGGUUGAUUCAGCUGAUCUGGCUGGGUAGGUGGGUGUCCCCUUUCUCUUUAACUGCUCCAUGUGAGUCCCUCCUGAAGCUGCCUGCUCAGUUGAAGAGGAUGACCAGCUCUGAUAGAGAAGGACCAUUCUUUGGUCAAGGGUGUAUGAGUAGCUGUACUCCCCUGCUAGAACCCCCAAAUGAGCUCUCAAGAGUUAGUUUUUUGAAAAUAUAACUAAAAGUAACAAGUUUCUAGGCUCC